rnacentral:rRNA from 1 species
AUUGAACGCUGGCGGCAGGCCUAACACAUGCAAGUCGAACGAGUGGCGGACGGGUGAGUAAUGUCUGGGAAACUGCCUGAUGGAGGGGGAUAACUACUGGAAACGGUAGCUAAUACCGCAUACCCUCAGAUGUGCCCAGAUGGGAUUAGCUUGUUGGUGGGGUAACGGCGCACCAAGGCGACGAUCCCUAGCGGGUCUGAGAGGAUGACCAGCCACACGGGAACGGAGACACGGUCCAGACUCCUAGGGGAGGCAGCAGUGGGGAAUAUUGGACAAUGGGCGAAAGCCUGAUCCAGCCAUGCCGCGUGUGUGAAGAAGGUUUUAGGAUUGUAAAGCACUUUAAGUUGGGAGGCGUUACCAACAGAAGAAGCACCGGCUAACUGCGUGCCAGCAGCCGCGGUAAUAC